CCCAGGGCUUCGCCCUGGGCUAGGAUAGCGCGGGCUUUCAGCCCG
rnacentral:sRNA from 1 species